rnacentral:rRNA from 2 species
UACGUAGGGCGCAAGCGUUGUCCGGAAUUAUUGGGCGUAAAGAGCUCGUAGGCGGUUUGUCGCGUCUGCUGUGAAAUCCUCAGGCUCAACCUGGGGCUUGCAGUGGGUACGGGCAGACUAGAGUGCGGUAGGGGUGACUGGAAUUCCUGGUGUAGCGGUGGAAUGCGCAGAUAUCAGGAGGAACACCGAUGGCGAAGGCAGGUCACUGGGCCGCAACUGACGCUGAGGAGCGAAAGCAUGGGGAGCGAACAGG